rnacentral:rRNA from 1 species
AGCCACACUGGAACUGAGAUACGGACCAGACUCCUACGGGAGGCAGCAGUGGGGAAUAUUGGACAAUGGGGGCAACCCUGAUCCAGCGAUGCCGCGUGUGUGAAGAAGGCCUGAGGGUUGUAAAGCACUUUAGUUGGGGAGGAAAGGCCCUUGCCGAAUAGGUAAGGGAGAAGACGUUACCCAAAGAAUAAGCACCGGCUAACUCUGUGCCAGCAGCCGCGGUAAUACAGAGGGUGCAAGCGUUAAUCGGAAUGACUGGGCGUAAAGGGCACGUAGGCGGAUAGAUGUGUCAUAGGUGAAAUCCCCGGGCUCAACCUGGGAACUGCCUGUGAAACUGUGUAUCUAGAAUAUAGGAGAGGGAAGUGGAAUUUCCGGUGUAGCGGUGAAAUGCGUAGAUAUCGGAAAGAACACCAGUGGCGAAGGCGACUUCCUGGUCUAAUAUUGACGCUGAGGUGCGAAAGCGUGGGGAGCAAACGGGAUUAGAUACCCCGGUAGUCCACGCUGUAAACGAUGAGAACUAGAUGCUUGUUGACUAAGGUUAAUGAGUAUUGAAGCAAACGCGUUAAGUUCUCCGCCUGGGGAGUACGGCCGCAAGGUUAAAACUCAAAGGAAUUGACGGGGGCCCGCACAAGCGGUGGAGCAUGUGGUUUAAUUCGAUGCAACGCGAAAAACCUUACCUACCCUUGACAUGUCAGGAAUCCUGCAGAGAUGCGGGAGUGCCCGCGAGGGAACCUGAACACAGGUGCUGCAUGGCUGUCGUCAGCUCGUGUCGUGAGAUGUUGGGUUAAGUCCCGUAACGAGCGCAACCCCUAUUGUUAGUUGCCAGCAAGUAAAGUUGGGCACUCUAAUGAGACUGCCGGUGAUAAACCGGAGGAAGGUGGGGAUGAUGUAAAGUCAUCAUGGCCCUUAUGGGUAGGGCUACACACGUGCUACAAUGGCCGGUACAAAGGGAAGCGAAGUCGCGAGAUGGAGCGAAUCCUUAUAAGCCGGUCGUAGUCCGGAUUGGAGUCUGCAACUCGACUCCAUGAAGUCGGAAUCGCUAGUAAUCGUGGAUCAGCAUGCCACGGUGAAUACGUUCCCGGGCCUUGUACACACCGCCCGUCACGCCAUGGGAGUGGGUUGUACCAGAAGUCAGUAGGCUAACCGCAAGGAGGCCGCUGACCACGGUAUGGUUCAUGACUGGGGUGAAGUCGUAACAAGGUA